ensembl:lncRNA
AGUCACGUAUUUCAAUAUAUUUUAAGACAAAUUAGAGUAUGUUACACUGCCCAGUGUUUCACUUUGAAGUGUCAAGGCUGAAAUCAUUAGUAAAUUUUCCCUUCUGUAAAUUGCUCUUUGGAUAAAAAGCUAACAAAUACAUUUGCCUUUUCCUGAUUUCUCUAUUUUUUUUUUCUUUCUAAUUGGUAUCAAAGGUGCUUAGGCUGUGAGCAAUGGUAUUGAUGGCUGUCACAUAACACCCAAAGACGGAGGUGUCUAUUGGUACUAGUUGUAUGGAGUUCCACAGGAACUGUGUUCUGCUGCGUCCUGGAGAGGUAAUGAGAGACCAAAUAAUGCCUCAGCUGAGGAUAUUCAGAUUAUUUGCACACGCUGAGCUAUCACAUAGCCCUGUUAGAAGAAAGCGAUGAAAUAAAAUCUAUGUUAACAGCGAGUUAACUGAGGCUGCUGGAGCGAAAAGGACAAAGAAAUGCACAUCAUUUGCAUGUGUUAAUAGGAAUAAGGAAGCUGAAAAAAACAGACCGUGCCCAUACUCCAUCACUGCCAGCACAGCCGCUUGGAGCUGCCCCGACGCUGAUCUACUGACGCUGGCUUUGUGCCAGAGUACAUCCCCGCUCCAAAGACCUCCUUGGCAUUUGAACAAUUUGAGCCAAACCUGCUCACUGUGAGAAAAGCAUUUCCCAGAGCUGCAAAGGAGGCAUGUCAGAUGAGAUGCCGGGCUCCAGCAAGACAAUACCCCAGGAACAAGCUGAGUGAACAAGCCUUUCUCAUCCAUUAAGUGUGCUGACCCCAUGGAUCAAGUCCUGCCUUCACACGGGGCUGAGAAGAUGGUUUGUGUCUACAGGAAACUUUCUGAAGUUGAGCUUCAAGUAUGUGUGACUGAAUUUGAAUUUGCCUUGCCUGAUGGAUUCCUCCCAGUGUGGCUCUGUUGCUGUUUGGCCUCAGGUCUUUGCUACUCUCCUGCAGUUGAUUUACAGAUGCUGUUUGAAGGAACGCUGAGAUUCUGGAGUGAAAGCUGCUAUAUAACUUCAAAACAUGGUUGAACAAGAAGUGGAGCAGCCUAAUGAAGCAUGGAUUCAGCUACUAAAGCUGGAGACUUUAUAAAUGUAAAGAAUUUUUUAUCAGGUAUUCAAAAUCUAGGUGACCCAUCAGGCCCUUGGUAGAUUGCUCCUGAAGUGACAAUACUCCAGUGCUUCCUCCAAGUGGAUGCCCAACAAGCAGGACAACAGUACAAGCAGCAGAACCUGAGGUGUUCGUCUGCAGCACAGUGUUUACUAAGAAUACUGAUUUAUUUCUUUUUCUUCACCUUCUAUUCCAGAUGGGAAGUUUACCUAGCCAGCUUAGUUUGUCUUUGCAGGUAUUUCUCACAUUACAUUCUUUUGAUGGCUGCAGAUUGUAGUGCAAUUAUAGUUUACAUUGUAUGAAAUUACUACUAUACUUUAUAAUCUUUUCAUUUCUAUAUUUAUUCUCAUGGCUGCAAACAAUAAUAAAG